rnacentral:rRNA from 1 species
CCUACGGGUGGCUGCAGUGGGGAAUUUUGCGCAAUGGGCGAAAGCCUGACGCAGCAACGCCGCGUGGGUGAUGAAGGUCUUCGGAUCGUAAAACCCUGUCGUUGGGGACGAAGGUGGGGGCGUUAAUAGCGUUUCUGCUUGACGGUACUCGGAGAGGAAGCCCCGGCUAACUCCGUGCCAGCAGCCGCGGUAAUACAGAGGGGGCAAGCGUUAUUCGGAAUUAGUGGGCGCGGUGUUUUAGGUCGGAGGUGAAAUCCCCGGGCUCAACUUGGGAACUGCAUCUGAGACUGGAAGGCUAGAGUACUGGAGAGGGUGGUGGAAUUCCUCGUGUAGCGGUGAAAUGCGUAGAGAUGAGGAGGAACACCAGUGGCGAAGGCGGCCACCUGGACAGUAACUGACGCUGAGGCGCGAAAGUGUGGGUAGCAAACAGGAUUAGAUACCCGUGUAGUC